UACGGAGGGGACUAGCGUUGUUCGGAAUUACUGGGCGUAAAGCGUGCGCAGGCGGUUAUGUAAGACAGGUGGGAAAUCCCCGGGCUCAACCUGGGAACUGCAUCUGUGACUGCAUAGCUAGAGUACGGUAGAGGGGGAUGGAAUUCCGCGUGUAGCAGUGAAAUGCGUAGAUAUGCGGAGGAACACCGAUGGCGAAGGCAAUCCCCUGGACCUGUACUGACGCUCAUGCACGAAAGCGUGGGGAGUAAACAGG
rnacentral:rRNA from 1 species